AGCGAACGUUAGCGGCGGGCCUAACACAUGCAAGUCGAACGGGCAGUAGCAAUACUGUCAGUGGCGCACGGGUGAGUAACGCGUAGGUAAUCUACCCUUUGGCGGGGGAUAACGUUCCGAAAGGGACGCUAAUACCGCAUAAGACCACGACCUCUUCGGGGGGUUGGGGGAAAACGGUGGCCUCUUCUUGAAAGCCAUCACCGAAGGAUGAGCCUGCGUCCCAUCAGCUAGUUGGUAGGGUAAUGGCCUACCAAGGCGAAGACGGGUAGCUGGUCUGAGAGGAUGAUCAGCCACACUGGCACUGGAAACACGGGCCAGACUCCUACGGGAGGCAGCAGUGGGGAAUAUUGGGCAAUGGGCGCAAGCCUGACCCAGCCACGCCGCGUGAGCGAUGAAGGCC
rnacentral:rRNA from 1 species